GAUCCUUGUACGGCGAGUGAACCGGGAUGAGCUCAAAUUUAAAAUCUGGCGUCUUUCAGGCGUCCGAGUUGUAAUCUAUAGAGGCGUUUUCCGCGCCGGACCGCGUCCAAGUCUCUUGGAAUAGAGUAUCAAAGAGGGUGACAAUCCCGUACUUGACGCGACAACCGGUGCUCUGUGAUACGUUCUCAAUGAGUCGAGUUGUUUGGGAAUGCAGCUCUAAAUGGGUGGUAAAUUCCAUCUAAGGCUAAAUAUUGGCGAGAGACCGAUAGCGAACAAGUACCGUGAGGGAAAGAUGAAAAGCACUUUGGAAAGAGAGUUAAACAGCACGUGAAAUUGUUAAAAGGGAAACGAUUGAAGUCAGUCGUGUGAAAGGUAUUCAGCCGUCUCUGGCGGUGUAUUUGCCUUUCACGGGUCAACAUCAGUUUGAUCCGGUAGAAAAAGGCGGGAGGAAGGUGGCACCCUCGGGUGUGUUAUAGCCUCCUGUCAUAUGUGCCGGACCAGACUGAGGAACGCAGCUUGCCGCAAGGCCGGGGUUCGCCCACGUACAAGCUUAGGAUGUUGACAUAAUGGCUUUAAACGACCCGCUAA
rnacentral:rRNA from 1 species